ACCCAGAUGAGUUUCAGUGGUCUGGGGUGCAGGCUUCAAACCUGUAGCUGAUGAGAGUCAAAGUGGUUCAAUUCCACCUUCUAGGC
rnacentral:tRNA from 1 species